GACGAACGCUGGCGGCGCGCUUAACACAUGCAAGUCGAACGGAAAGGCCUGCUUUCCCUUGUGGAUUGCGGGUACUCGAGUGGCGAACGGGUGAGUAACACGUGAGUGAUCUGCCCCCAACUUGGGUAUAAGCCUGGGAAACUGGGUCUAAUUCCCGAUAGGACUGCAGGGUGGUGCCUGUGGUGGAAAACGAUUUUCUAGUGGUUGGGGAUGAGCUCGCGGCCUAUCAGCUUGUUGGUGGGGUAAUGGCCUACCAAGGCGGCGACGGGUAGCCGGCCUGAGAGGGUGGACGGCUACAUUGGGACUGAGAUACGGCCCAGACUCCUACGGGAGGCAGCAGUGGGGAAUAUUACACAAUGGGCGGAAGCCUGAUGCAGCGACGCCGCGUGGGGGAUGACGGCCUUCGGGUUGUAAACUCCUUUCGACCGCGAGGAAGCCACCUGGUUGGAAGGGUGGUGACGGUAGUGGUAGAAGAAGCACCGGCUAACUACGUG
rnacentral:rRNA from 1 species